rnacentral:rRNA from 1 species
CACUAUGCUUAGCCGUAAAAUAUUAACCCACACUUAGCCCGCCAGGGAAUUACAAGCUAAGCUUAAAACCCAAAGGACUUGACGGUGUCCCAUCCCUCUAGAGGAGCCUGUUCUAUAAUCGAUUCUCCCCGAUAUACCUCACCGUUUCUUGUACAUCCAGUCUGUAUACCUCCGUCGCAAGCUUACCAUGUGAACGUACAAAGUGAGCCUAAAGAUUCUCCACCCACACGUCAGGUCAAGGUGCAGCCUACGAAACGGAAAGAAAUGGGCUACAAUCUCUAUCUUAGAACAAACGGAAAACUGUAUGAAACACAGUCAUUGAAGGCGGAUUUAGUAGUAAAAUGAAAAUAGAGAAUUCUUUUUAACUAGGCGCUGGGACGCGUACACACCGCCCGUCACCCUCUUCAAAUAAAACUCAGAAGUCACUAACACUAUAUAAUCAAAUAGAAGAGGCAAGUCGUAACAUGGUAAGUGUACUGGAAAGUGCACUUGGAAUAACAAAAUGUAGCUUAACAAAAGUACCCUGCUUACACCAAGACCAUGUCUGCGAAACCCAGACCAUUUUGAGCUUAAACCUCAGCCCUAUCCCCCCCCAUGAAUUUUUCAUCUCCCAUCCUCCCCAUAAAACAUUUUCCUGACUAAGUAAAGGUGAUUAAAAAGUCUCUAGGAGCCCCAGCACUAGUACCGCAAGGGAAAAGUGAAAUAAAAAUGAAAUAGAUUUAAAGCGCUACAAAGUAAAGAUUUCCCCUUGUACCU